UGGCUCAGAGGUUAAGAGCACUGACUGUUAUUCCAGAGGUCCUGAGUUCAAUUCUCAG
rnacentral:tRNA from 1 species